UACGUAGGGUGCAAGCGUUGUCCGGAAUUAUUGGGCGUAAAGAGCGUGUAGGCGGCCCGACCAGUCCGCUGUGAAAGUCCAGGGCUCAACCCUGGAAUGCCGGUGGAUACUGUCGGGCUAGAGUCCGGAAUGGGCGAGUGGAAUUCCUGGUGUAGCGGUGAAAUGCGCAGAUAUCAGGAAGAACACCCGUGGCUAAGGCGGCUCUCUAGUACGGUACUGACGCUGAGACGCGAAAGCGUGGGGAGCGAACAGG
rnacentral:rRNA from 1 species